rnacentral:rRNA from 1 species
ACAUGCAGAGAACUUUCCAGAGAUGGAUUGGUGCCUUCGGGAACGUCUGACACAGGUGCUGCAUGGCGUGUCGUCAGCUCGUGUCGUGAGAUGUUGGGUUAAGUCCGUAACGAGCGCAACCCUUGUCCUUAGUUACCAGCACGUUAUGGUGGGCACUCUAAGGAGACUGCCGGUGACAAACCGGAGGAAGGUGGGGAGUGACGUCAAGUCAUCAUGGCCCUUACGGCCUGGGCUACACACGUGCUACAAUGGUCGGUACAAAGGGUUGCCAAGCCGCGAGGUGGAGCUAAUCCCAUAAAACCGAAUCGUAGUCCGGAUCGCAGUCUGCAACUCGACUGCGUGAAGUCGGAAUCGCUAGUAAUCGUGAAUCAGAAUGUCACGGUGAAUACGUUCCCGGGCCUU